AUUGAACGCUAGCGGGAUGCUUUACACAUGCAAGUCGAACGGCAGCACGAGAGAGCUUGCUCUCUUGGUGGCGAGUGGCGGACGGGUGAGUAAUAUAUCGGAACGUGCCUAGUAGCGGGGGAUAACUACUCGAAAGAGUGGCUAAUACCGCAUACGCCCUACGGGGGAAAGGGGGGGAUCGCAAGACCUCUCACUAUUAGAGCGGCCGAUAUCGGAUUAGCUAGUUGGUGGGGUAAAGGCUCACCAAGGCAACGAUCCGUAGCUGGUUUGAGAGGACGACCAGCCACACUGGGACUGAGACACGGCCCAGACUCCUACGGGAGGCAGCAGUGGGGAAUUUUGGACAAUGGGGGAAACCCUGAUCCAGCCAUCCCGCGUGUAUGAUGAAGGCCUUCGGGUUGUAAAGUACUUUUGGCAGAGAAGAAAAGGUACCUCCUAAUACGAGGUACUGCUGACGGUAUCUGCAGAAUAAGCACCGGCUAACUACGUGCCAGCAGCCACGGUAAUACGUAGGGUGCAAGCGUUAAUCGGAAUUACUGGGCGUAAAGCGUGUGUAGGCGGUUCGGAAAGAAAGAUGUGAAAUCCCAGGGCUUAACCUUGGAACUGCAUUUUUAACUGCCGAGCUAGAGUAUGUCAGAGGGGGGUAGAAUUCCACGUGUAGCAGUGAAAUGCGUAGAUAUGUGGAGGAAUACCGAUGGCGAAGGCAGCCACCUGGGAUAAUACUGACGCUCAGACACGAAAGCGUGGGGAGCAAACAGGAUUAGAUACCCUGGUAGUCCACGCCCUAAACGAUGUCAACUAGCUGUUGGGGCCGUCAGGCCUUAGUAGCGCAGCUAACGCGUGAAGUUGACCGCCUGGGGAGUACGGUCGCAAGAUUAAAACUCAAAGGAAUUGACGGGGACCCGCACAAGCGGUGGAUGAUGUGGAUUAAUUCGAUGCAACGCGAAAAACCUUACCUACCCUUGACAUGUCUGGAAUCCCGAAGAGAUUUGGGAGUGCUCGCAAGAGAACCGGAACACAGGUGCUGCAUGGCUGUCGUCAGCUCGUGUCGUGAGAUGUUGGGUUAAGUCCCGCAACGAGCGCAACCCUUGUCAUUAGUUGCUACGCAAGAGCACUCUAAUGAGACUGCCGGUGACAAACCGGAGGAAGGUGGGGAUGACGUCAAGUCCUCAUGGCCCUUAUGGGUAGGGCUUCACACGUCAUACAAUGGUCGGGACAGAGGGUCGCCAACCCGCGAGGGGGAGCCAAUCUCAGAAACCCGAUCGUAGUCCGGAUCGCAGUCUGCAACUCGACUGCGUGAAGUCGGAAUCGCUAGUAAUCGCGGAUCAGAAUGUCGCGGUGAAUACGUUCCCGGGUCUUGUACACACCGCCCGUCACACCAUGGGAGUGGGUUUCACCAGAAGUAGGUAGCCUAACCGUAAGGAGGGCGCUUACCACGGUGGGAUUCAUGACUGGGGUGAAGUCGUAACAAGGUAGCC
rnacentral:rRNA from 1 species